GAGGAGUAUCUGCAAGACUUUGAGGAGUUCUACGCGUUCGUUUCUUCAGUCAGCUACCUGUGGUGUCGUUGCUACCUUUAGAGUUCCACUGCGUACUAGUUAGACUUUGUGGUUUAUUUGAGAGUUUCGGUCAUGUAAUAAUGGUUAAUACUCUUUUUAUUCGAUUUGGCAUUGUCUUUGUUAUUCGCUUAUGUCGUACAUGUGUGUAACUUGACCCUGGCGCACAUGUAUUCAAUGCACUUGGUUUUGUCCUUAAAACCGGGUGUGACAUCACUGGAUUUCAGGAUGCAAAAAAUAAAAACUUUACAUAUUUCGAACAUGCAAAAAUAUAUUAAAUUAGCAAGUAUAUUUACAAUAAGUUUGAAUGAGUCAUUAAUUCUAUACUAGUUCUUUUAGCUUUUAAAAUAAUUAUUUUACUACAUCACUAUCAUCAAGAAAAAUUAUUCAAUUAAAUAAUUUCAACGCGACAAAUUCAAUUUACCUAUGUGGUUAACAUUGUUCAUAUUAUUCGAAUAAAUCUUCACCUCAACUAUUUUAAACACACAUGAAAUCAUACAUACAUUAAAUUAAAAAUUUUAUCAAGUGGU
rnacentral:lncRNA from 1 species